GAUUUUUAAUCAUAAAUGCAUCUCAAAUUGUGAUUGGAAUCGGCCAAAAUUACGGCUUAAAAUGCUAACUAUGUUCUAGGGACAUCACAGGGAGGAGAAAAUGAGUAAAAGAUACAAACACUAAAUGAUUUCAUAAUUUCAAAUUUUAUUAUAACAAAUUCAACAAAGGAUCCUCAUCCUGAGGAUUCUCAAGUGCCAUUACAUGUUUCUUGAAUGAAGCGGCAGCUUCUUCCCUUUCCUCUAGUUUUCCCAAUUUGUCAAAUAUUAUGGCCAUCAAGUAGAAACCUUCAGCAGCUAAUUCAUGAUACUGCCCAACAAAAACCACCUCAUCUUGUCAAUAAUGAUAACAAAACCCCAAAGCAAUAACUCAAAAUAACUCAAAACCCGCAGGCAAACUAUAAUGCCAUAGAAGUGGAAACCUAAUGACAAUCUCACACCAGAAAGCACGACAGCUGAGUGGAUUACACUUUGCAAUAUUUAAUUAGUCAGAUCCUUUUCUGCAGGUUGGAAUGAAAUUCAUCCAGUCAUUCUAUCAGAAACUGCCACUGCCUGCCCCUAAUAAAUUUCUUAAUUGCCUCCAGAAACAGGCAAUGUUGCAAUAUUACCUCAAUAUCACCACUGAAACACUCCCCGCUUAAAUCUUUCGGAAUGAUUUUGGGUUUCAUGGCAAGGAUCAAUUCUUACAUUCUUAAAUGAUUAAUUAAUUUAAUAACUAAAGAAAUAGUCCUAGCCCCCAUAAUUACUGUCUCCAUCCAUUAUUUUGGAAAACUUUUCAAUUAAUUGAACAAUAUUUGAAAAAACAAAAAAAGGAAACUCGUAUAUUGUUCUAUAUUAUAAUUUUUUUCUUCUUACUGGCGCUCCAUUAUAAACUUCUUUUGAGCCCACCUCGUCAAAAUUCACAAAUUGCCAUCAACGAGUCAAUAACAAAUUGGCUAUGUAAUAAAAAGAAAACCUUUGAAUUUCUUUUUUACUCCGUUUUACUCUGUCACUAUAGGUAAAAUUUUGUUGUUUAUUCACCAAAUUGGUCAAAAGGAGGAGAAAUAAAAAUUUUGAAAGGGGUUGCUAAUAAAAAACAUUUUGAUUGUGGUGCCUAGAUAAAAAUGUCUAAUAAUUAAGGGGUCAUUCAUGCAAUCCUUAACUAUGUAUAUAGAAAAACUUGACAGCCCAUCUUAUUUGUCCAAAAUAUAAUAUGAGAUAAUAGUGAGGUGAAAUCAAUCAGAAUUUGAACACGGAGAAUCCUACACCUGGCAAACCACAGCAUGAUAUUUAUAUUCAUAGAAAUGUCAACUUACCUCCAACACCUGAAGCUCAUCAGAAGCUUGCCUCAAAGGAUCUAGUACAACCUCAGAAUCUUCAAAAACUAAGGAGAAAAUGAAACCACACAGAAAAUCUGGGUGACACAAUGCCAGAAGGCAGAACAAGUAGUUGAAUGAGAAACAGCAUCAUCAACAGAGAGCACAUUGAGCACAUACAUAAACACUGCUUGAAUUAAGCUUAAUAAAUUGUAAUGCCAUAUAAAACACAGCAAACAUAACCCAAGCAAUGAGGUUUAGAAAUUCUAUGAUUACUUAAAAAUAACUAGGCAUGGGUUUCCAUUGAAUCCAUCACUCCCACCAGCAAUUACCUAUAGUUAAAGAUCACGCCAUUAAAGGUUGUCAUUAGUUUGUAUGGGUCUUGGAUGAUAAAUGAUCUCGUAUACAACUUUUUACUUUCCAUCAUUGGAUUUGGAUCCCCACAUGAAUAGCCCACAGAGGGUCCAACUAACAUAUACAAAUAAACUUCUGAUAAAACCGACCUCACAUAAAUUAUUUACUUUUCUCAUUCUGUUGAGAUGGAAGAAUGCAUCAUACUGUAACAAGAGAGAAUUAAUCAAUAAGUGGGAGAACCUGAAUAGCUUGGAUCAGAAAGAUAGCAUUUUGAUUCAGCAAUCCGCGCCCUAGCUCGAAGCUCCAGACCUCCAUGGCCAAGAAUCAUUGGAAGAGCCCCAUGUAAAAGCGUUAAUGCUCUCUUUGCAUGGUUUGAUCCCAGUGAGAGCCACAACUCAGCCAGAGUGAGAGUAGCUGAUGCUUUGAGAAGAUCCAAGUUAAAUGACUGGCAAAAUGACAGGCUUGCCAAUGCAUAUGGAAGGCCCAAAACAGCAUUGCCUGAUUUCUUGUGAAUUUCAGCUAGCAGAAGAAGAAUAGUGGCAUUCUCAACCUGCAUAUUGAAUUUGUAACACAUGCAGAAGAGAGAAUGUGCAACAGCUGCUGCCUCACUGAAUUGCUUUGCUGCAAGCAAUGUACGAGCAUGGCGAAGGCUUGCUUCUCUCUUCAGUUCCAUGUCCACACCCAUGACAGAUGAAGCCAAAACUCCUAGCUCAUCACACACCUGUUGUGCUAGUUUCAGAUGUGCCCUGUGUAAAGCACGUUCAUGGAGCAGCUGCAGUUUUAGUACCAAAAGUACUGAUCUUGAAACAGACAAAAACCUUUCUUCAGCUACUUUAAGAGCAGAAAAGGCCUCAUGUAUAUUUCACAAAUGCAAUAUUCCAAAAACCAAGUUCAAUGCUCGCGGGGAGGUGUUUAAGCAUUCAUUCUGACCUUUGUAUCCUUGAAAUGCCGCUAAAUGUUGGAUGAGCUUUGCAUGCACUAAUGCUGUAUCUGAUGAACUUGAUGAAUCAGUAAAGCAAGUUGCAUAAACCAAUGCAUUUAUUCGAGCAAGAGGGGCACUGCCGUAUGUCUCCCAAGCAGAGGCACGGAGCAAGUAAGAAGAACCUAAUAUUUGCAAAACAGAUCUGGGAAUUGAACUUGACUGUGCACAAAAUUGAAGAGCAUGAAAAUUUUCUCCAGAUUCAUUCUCCUGAGUCAACACUAGCGAACCCAUUGGUUUUGUCAAAUUUUUAAGCCAGGCAGUACUAAAAGCACCAUCAGUUGCCACAGUGGAGGUUUCAGAAGCAAAUUCACUAAUCAAAUGAGAACACAAUCUCAGUUCCUUGCAAACAUUGACGGGACAUGUUUUAAGCCUCAUGGAAGCUUUGGGACCAAAUGAUAACAGAGGUCUUUGCACAUGCAUCAAGUCAAAUUUAGCCAUCGCAAGAUGAUUAGAAGCAACUAAUCGCUUCAACUUUAAACUUUCUGCCCUCUUCAGAGACUCUUUCAAGAGAACAAAUAAUUGUUGUGCAACAGACACUGAACUGCCCACGCUGGUCACAGGAGAGUAGGAUGUUCCAAGUAUUCCAGCUGUAAUUGAGCUCCCGAUUUCGGAAGACAAGUUGCAGAUAGCCGCUAAAGUGUAAGCAAGACAGCUGUCAUUACUUUGCACUUGAGAAAUGCGCACUGCUUCAGUUAAGACCAACAAAGCUUGCUUGGGAUGUCCGAAGUAGAAGUGCAUCAUCCCUAAACAUAACAAAGCAAUCUCGUAUCUUGCAGAAUUAUUUGAUCCAGAAGGUGGAACAAAAUCAAAUCCCUCUAUCCCUGCACUGUAAUCAAAGUAGCAAUGAAGAUUCUCCACAGCAGCAAAAUAAUCGUCAUGAUAAAGGCUAUUUAAGUAAUGUAAAUAGUGAACACGAUGCAACUCAGGUGCCAACUUUUUAAUCUGCCUUAAAAUAAGUUCAAAAGUAUUAAAAGAGACAGAACCGCCAUGCUUCUCAAUUGCAUCUGCUUGCUCCGUUAAGUACCCCUGUACCUGCCAGUUUGUUCGUAGGAAUACCUCACCAUAGGGAUCAACGUCUUGUGAUUCAGUUCCUGGAUGAUGGACAUGCGGACAAUCUUCUGUGCCUUUGUCAUGAUGUUUGGAUCUUGGGUCAGUAACAACCUCAACAUCUUCAACCAAUCCACAAAUUGCUUGGGUUGCAUGAAGAUGAAAAGAAACUCUUUCAGUAGCCUCCUUUCUUUCUUCAAUUUCCUCAUUUACUUUACCAAAAACAAAAUUCUCCAGGUCCAUAUUUUCACACUCUGAUAAUGACUCCAAAUCAUUACUAGAUCCAUCUAAACGAUGCAACUCAUAUGGCAUGCAAUUCGAAAGGACUUCUUUGCAGUAGAUCCCUAUAUUUGUCAAAAGAUGGCAUACACCCUCAAAAGACAAUACAUUAAAAGCCAGUACACAGCGACGGAGAAACAUUCCAAGAAUGCUAUUCGGGUCAAGAAUAACUUGGUUAUCUUCUAUGACUACUGAAUCAGACCCUCCAAGGAUUCCUCUCAUUUCACUGAAGAAAGUGAACAGAUCAUCAGGGGACGACAAAGAGGAAACUCUACUCGUUAAAUGAUCAAUUAACCAGGGACCCAACGAACCUCCGAUUUCCCUCAACUGACUUAUAAGAUCCUCCAGUUUUGGCUCCAAUAUAUCAUCGUAGGACUUGGUGAGAGACAAGAUGUACAAGCCGAGGCGAUUAUGCUGAGACACUGAAGAGAAAGGAGGCGUUGCUUGGGUGGGAAGGGCAUACAUCUGAAGCAGAACGCAGACGGAGACUUUAUGCGGCGUAAUUGCAAAUGCGCUGGCCGCUGCCAUUGGUGAUCUGUAGGUGAGGAUGGGUCAGUUCCGGCGGGAGAGUUUUGAGUGCCAAUGCUCGCGAGUGGGAGUUGAAGUGGUAAUUAAAAGGAGAAAUUGUCUUUCAUACUCAUGUUAGAUUAUAAAAAGGAUUAUUUUUCUGCAAGAGAAUGCUAUUUUUUGAUAUUCUGGAUAAAAGGUUCUAAGAAGUUCUCAGUGAGUGCUUUGGGCCCGC
rnacentral:misc_RNA from 1 species